CGAAAUGCGAUAAGUAAUGUGAAUUGCAGAAUUCAGUGAAUCAUCGAAUCUUUGAACGCACCUUGCGCUCCUUGGUAUUCCUUGGAGCAUGCCUGUUUGAGUAUCAUGAAAUCUUCAAAGUAAAUCUUUUGUUAACUCAAUUUGUUUCUACUUUGGUAUUGGAGGUCUUUGCAGCUUCACACCUGCUCCUCUUUGUUCAUUAGCUGGAUCUCAGUGUUAUGCUUGGUUCCACUCGGCGUGAUAAGUUAUCUAUCGCUGAGGACACUGUAAAAGGUGGCCAAGGUAAAUGCAGAUGAACCGCUUCUAAUAGUCCAUUGACUUGGACAAUACUUUUAUGAUCUGAUCUCAAAUCAGGUAGGACUACCCGCUGAACUUAAGC
rnacentral:misc_RNA from 1 species